GAUGUUGGGUUAAGUCCCGCAACGAGCGCAACCCUACGACCUUAGUUGCCAGCAUUCAGUUGGGCACUCUAAGGUGACUGCGGCUAAAGUCGGAGGAAGGUGGGGAUGACGUCAAAUCAUCAUGCCCCUUAUGACCUGGGCUACACACGUGCUACAAUGGGCGGUACAAAGGGUCGCGAACCCGCGAGGGGGAGCCAAUCCCAAAAAGCCGCUCUCAGUUCGGAUUGCAGGCUGCAACUCGCCUGCAUGAAGCCGGAAUCGCUAGUAAUCGCGGAUCAGCAUGCCGCGGUGAAUACGUUCCCGGGCCUU
rnacentral:rRNA from 1 species